AGAAAUCGUCCCGCUUUGCCGGGAACUUGGAAUAGGGAUAGUCCCAUAUAGCCCUCUUGGCCGCGGAUUUUUUGGUGGCAGAGCAGUUGUUGAGGGUGUGCCUGCAAAUAGUUUCCUGGAAAUAAAUCCUCGGUUUCGAGGGGAAAAUUUAGA